UACGUAGGGUGCGAGCGUUAAUCGGAAUUACUGGGCGUAAAGCGUGCGCAGGCGGCGGCCCAAGUCAGGUGUGAAAUCCCCGGGCUUAACCUGGGAACUGCAUUUGUGACUGCAAGGCUGGAGUGCGGCAGAGGGGGAUGGAAUUCCGCGUGUAGCAGUGAAAUGCGUAGAUAUCUGGAGGAACACCGGUGGCGAAGGCGACAUCCUGGACCGGUAUUGACGCUGAGGCGCGAAAGCCAGGGGAGCAAACGGG
rnacentral:rRNA from 1 species